UCACAAUCUGCAAUCGAGCAACGAAAACUAUACCAAUUAUCUGUCAACAAAUUAUACAACUCAAAACCUUCUCAUCAAGUUAUUAUCAGCAUCAAUUUCUGUUCCCUAUUUUCUUACCAUCCAAGCAGGCAAUCAACAAACUAAAGACUAGACUCCUUCCGAACUAGAUCUAUUUCAUAGACUGUGGUAUAAACACCAGUCCUAUGAUCUAACAUGGCCAGACACGGAUAAAGCAAAUCCAAUUGAAUUAAACUAUUUCAGUGCGUAAAUCAACCUCAGAUCCAAUAAUCACAAGAAAAAAACAACAAAAAACCUAUAUCCAAAAGUAGAACGCAAUCAACCUAUAGAUUACAACAAAAAAAUUGAAAAAAAGAAAAUAACCUAAAAGGAAGAAGAAUACUAGCCAAACCUUGUCAAAAAUGGCAUAAAAGGAGCCGCAUCAAGCACUCCCUGACUUCUUCGAUAAUAGAAAGAGAGAAAUGUAAAUAUACAGGACUUGCAAGACUCUUUGGAUCUAGAAAAAGUGAAAACGAGAGAGAAGCAAAAUAAUAAAGAGGGGAAACAGAGAGAAAGGGAGAGAAAACUAACUGAUCACAAGAGAAGAGAGGGGAGGUGAACAGAGGGAGUGGAGAAUAGGUAAUCGUGUCAGUCACGAAUGAGAUCGCGACACGUGUCUUGAGGGUAAAUCUAGAAUAUCUGACUUUUCUUUUGGUUCGCAAUGUCAUCGCUGGAGUCAAGCCACGUGGCAGCCCUACUUGCAUUGGAUCAUGUUGAUCAAAGUGGGUCCCGAUGCCAUUAAGAUAAUGACAACCGCCGGAUUAGAUCUUUCCACGUAUUAUGAUCCGAAUGGUUUGCAGGACUCUUGUUGAACGGCCCAGAUUCUAGAUCUAAAAAACGGGUUGGACGUUUCGCAUCAACUACUCCGAGGCUAAAAUUGUAAAAUCAUUCAGCCGGGUCCCGGGUCCCGGGUCCUUGCGCAACCAAACUUGGGUUGGACUACCCGAAAGCCCAUUUCUGUACCCGACGAUAAAUUUGGGUUUGAACCCGAAUUAAAAC
rnacentral:lncRNA from 1 species